CCUACGGGUGGCAGCAGUGGGGAAUAUUGGGCAAUGGGCGCAAGCCUGACCCAGCAACGCCGCGUGAAGGAAGAAGGCUUUCGGGUUGUAAACUUCUUUUCUCAGGGACGAAGGAAGUGACGGUACCUGAGGAAUAAGCCACGGCUAACUACGUGCCAGCAGCCGCGGUAAUACGUAGGUGGCAAGCGUUAUCCGGAGUUACUGGGUGUAAAGGGCGUGUAGGCGGGAAAGCAAGUCAGAUGUGAAAACCAUGGGCCCAACCUGUGGCCUGCAUUUGAAACUGUUUUUCUUGAGUGCUGGAGAGGCAGACGGAAUUCCUAGUGUAGCGGUGAAAUGCGUAGAUAUUAGGAGGAACACCAGUGGCGAAGGCGGUCUGCUGGACAGCAACUGACGCUGAGGCGCGAAAGCGUGGGGAGCAAACAGGAUUAGAUACCCUUGUAGUC
rnacentral:rRNA from 1 species